rnacentral:rRNA from 1 species
UACGUAGGGUGCAAGCGUUAAUCGGAAUUACUGGGCGUAAAGCGUGCGCAGGCGGUUCGCUAAGACCGAUGUGAAAUCCCCGGGCUAACCUGGGAACUGCAUUGGUGACUGGCGGGCUAGAGUAUGGCAGAGGGGGGUAGAAUUCCACGUGUAGCAGUGAAAUGCGUAGAUAUCGGGAAGAACACCCGUGGCGAAGGCGGCUCUCUGGGACGGUACUGACGCUGAGACGCGAAAAGCGUGGGGAGCGAACGAGG